ACUGUGGAGUGUACACAAACCUGCGAGUAGCGUAUUACUUUGUAAUCGCCAAAGCAUGCACAUUGAAGCAGUAA
rnacentral:sRNA from 12 species